rnacentral:rRNA from 1 species
UACGUAGGGUGCAAGCGUUGUCCGGAAUUAUUGGGCGUAAAGAGCUCGUAGGCGGUUUGUCGCGUCGGCUGUGAAAACCUGAGGCUCAACCUCAGGCCUGCAGUCGAUACGGGCAGACUAGAGUCCGGCAGGGGAGACUGGAAUUCCCAGUGUAGCGGUGAAAUGCGUAGAUAUUGGGAGGAACACCAGUGGCGAAGGCGGCUCACUGGACCGGUACUGACGCUGAGGCGCGAAAGCGUGGGGAGCAAACGGGG